rnacentral:lncRNA from 11 species
GUAAAUUGGAAAAAGAAAGGAAGUUAAUGAGAUGGAAAAGGCAACAUAAAAAGCAGGCAAAAACUUGCCCAAAGUCGCACAAUGGGUUUCCAUGGCUGAAUGGGGAUGUGAAUCCUGAUCUCUGGAGUUGAUUUCCAAUGUUCAAACCACCAUGCUGGACAAUCCAUCAUAUAAAAACAUUUGGAAGUUUGUCCUUUCAUGCUCCUUCUAUCAUAUAUGGAAAAGGAGACCAUGAAUAAGGUCUUUUAGUUGCAUCCAAUGAUAUUUUAGAAAUCUGGAAAGAUCCAUGGUAUAGAAGGGAAAAUCCACCCUCUUCUUUUGUCUCAAGAUCGCC